GGAUGAAGCGCGGAAACAGACUCUACAACUCAAAGAGAGUUAUAAAGCAGGUAUGUUUAUUACGGCGCCGGGUGCAAGGGGGAUCGCUCCUCCUAACUUGCACACCGAGGGGUUAAGCAAGCAGGUAUUUAUUACACACAAACAUGAAUAUUCAUCAGGUUCUCGAGAGGGUGGGGAUAUUACAAUUAGUUUAGGUACUCAUUGUCAUAAAUCUCCUCCCUUUUAGCGCUUGCGCACUGCCCUCUGAUGUCUUCCUCGUGAAUAGGGGUCUUCAAAAUGAAGUAAGCGGUCUUCCUCAUGUGGGCAGGGGUCUUCAAGAUGCAGUAAGCAGUCUUCCUCAUGUGGGCAGGGGUCUUCAAGAUGAAGUAAGCAGUCUUCCUCGUGGGCAGGGGUCUUCAAGAUGAAGCAAGCAGUCUUCCUCGUGUGGGCAGGGGUUUUCAAGAUGAAGCAAGCAGUCUUCCUCAUGGUGCACUUCU